UCCCAUUUUCACUUAAUAAAACCAAACCGUCUUUGGCCGGGGAAAAAGAAAAUCCCAAAAAGUUUGUGCUUUCCCGCCUUUCUUCCUUUCAACGUUGGUGCAAAAAUUUGGCAAUCAAGGGACUCGGAUAUAUUAGUCCGAAAGAAAAAAGGACUCAUAUUGUCCGUUUACCUUUGCUAAUCGUCGAUCCACAGACGCCAGAGCUUUCGGAGUUCUGUCCAGAUUUCUUCGUGCUUUAUUGCUGUUCAUUCGAGUCAAACAUGGUAUUAAUUUCGAAAAUGGAAGUCUUCGUAGAUUCUUUUAUUAUGCAAUUUAUUGUCGAUGUCGCUCUUAGAACUUCAUACCGAGUUUUUCUGUUUAUGAUGUAAUUCUAGAUCACAUGUCUAUUUUAGUCGGGAUCGUUUGAAUUUCGAUAGAUAUCAGACUCGAUUCAUCUGUCCGUCGUUUUUUGAAUUUUUGAAUGUCUAUCUUCGAGCAUAACACGUUAGGUUCUUGGUUCGUGGAUUUCAAAUCUUGAGAUAUCUGGAAUACUCGUUAGAUUUUCCUGUUCAUGAGUAUUUUUCGGUUUAGUUUCUCCAAAUAUCCGUGCAUAUAUUUAAAAAAACAAAGGAAGUCAAGAAACUCCCAGAAUUUGUGGUUUGUGGUUGAAUUGAAAUCUCUGCAUAAUUUGGUUGUCCAUCGGAAAGAUGACCAAGUUUGUUCAAUUCAGACUAAAUGAAGGCACUGUCCCCUCGUACUAUGAGUAAAUGAUGACUUUGUUGAUCUCUGUAACCAAUGUUGUCCUUGUAUAUUCCGUUGGCCGAAAUAGAAUUUGUGCUUUAGAAGUUUGAUGCGAUAACCAGUAAAGUAAAGGAGGAGGAGGACGAUUUCCGUGAAAGGGCGAGGAUAUUACACCCACGAUCUCACAGGAAGUCUUUUGAGCCUGACAAAACAAAACUAGAAGUCAAAAUAAAUGAAACAGAAAACAGAACUGAAAUUCUGAGGAUGAAUCUGGGUCAAACUUUAGCCUAAGACUCAUUAUUUCAUCAGAACAAAUAAAAAUGGGAGUGUCUCAUGUUGCUUAAACGAACAUCAGGGGUGUUCUCAGAAGAAAAAAAAUAUUCAGAGAAAGAAAUUUGACCAGUGAUGUUAGCCUCGGACCAGAAGGCAAGUGAUGUUAGCAGUCCUGCAUCGACCGAGUGCAAGAAGAUUUUCUAUGGGAGCUAUGCGUAAUGCCAGGACUUCGAAAUUCGAAUAUCUAGGGGUCUGGCUGUAACAAAAUAAGGUUGCAAAGGCAAUCUUCUGUAUCCCAGUAAGUUUUGGGUCUCCAAUUUAUGGCUUUGCGUCUUUCAAUUUUGAAGCAGAUUUAUUUUGUUCCUGCCUUUUGCCGUUUCUUAUCAGACUUCAGGAAUUAAGAGCUUAAGGAUUCCCAUCCAGAAAAGCUGCAUAUUUUGUAACAGAGAAAGAGGCCCAGGACGGUCGGUCUGAUUCAUAUUCUAAAGAGAGGAACUUCAAGAGAUCUCAAGAAGGUUCGGCAUCCGUCGAAGAAGGAUAUAUGCAUUCACUUCUUCACUCGUACCCAAUUUGGCAAUUGAGGCAUCGAAGAGAAAUUGUUGCAUAUUGGCUUAAGCUCUUGACAGCCAUGAGAAGUGAUAAGAAUGUGGUUAUCCUCGUGAUUUAUAGGAAAAUCACCAAGUAGUAUCUGCUUCUAAUAUUCAUAGCUAAUUUUCAAAUCGUUCUUAUGGGGAACAGUCAGGUCUUCAUGCUUUGCGUUCUAGGAAAUAAGUCACUUGGCAGAGGAUUAUAUAUCGUAUAUUGGUGACUUCCAUAUAUGUUAUGGAUGCAGCGUGUGUUUAGUCCAUCAUAACCUCCGAAGCGACAAUCUUUGACGAAAAACUCCACCUUUGAUGGCAGCGGACUGAUGAGUUGGCAGUUGAGAUGGAUGGGACGGACACCACUGAUCCUGGUAGGCCAGGAAAUACUGAAAAAUCGUCAUAUAUGAUUGUUGCGUCGAGUGUAGCAGGAAUAUGGAGCAGCAUGCUCUUCAGAAAGUAUUAUGCUUUUGUAACAUGUAGGUUCAAGAGAGACAUUGCCGAGAAGCAAACUUAAUGCUUAGUCAAAUGAAGAAGCAGUGUAAGAACAGAUUAGGGAAAAGUUAAGAACAAAUUAAGUCAGUGAGAAGCCAGAAAUUCUUAGAUUCUGAUAAAUGUUGCUGAAGAGAGGCACCACCUGCUGCAGAAUGUCUGCUCCCAGAUUCACGCAGAUACGUAUAUUCAAAAGAUUGAUGGAUUUUUAAGCUUAAAUUGCGACAUAACUCAUGUUUUAAUCCUUCUUGAAUUUUGUUUCAGAGAGAAGCCAGCAAUUCUCAAUAAAUCAAAAGAGAGAGAGGCUAGAAACUUAAAAAAAGAAAGAGGCAAGAAACAAACUUUUGAAGAAACAUCACGCGCUCAGCUUCAAUGAUCUAUCGCAAGAGCAAGAAUCAGUGGACAUCUAACUGAAUGAUACUCUGAGGAAAAUGACAGCUGUCCAGAAG